GGUAUUGUUUCUCCUUUUUGAACUCUCCCCUAUCUAUGCAUCGUUUCUCGACGAUUAUCGACCUAUUCGCACGCCAAUCGAUAUUGAUUGCCAAGAAUUCCGAUUGAAUGGAAUUAAUAGAAACUAGUACUUUGUAAUAGAAACGAAAAAUAUCGUUUCUCGUUUGUGAAAAAAUCCUUUUGCUUAUAUUUCCUAAGAAGAUAUACGUUUUCCAACUUGCCAUUCUUUCUUUCCAGUUUGGAUGACUACUAGGAUUUUGUGAUUUGACUAGAAUAAACAUUUUUGUACCUGAAUGUCUGUUUCAUAAUAUAAUUACAGUAUGUUUCGUUGCAUAUUUUUGACACUACGAUAGUCAAAUAAAUAGAAACGACACAAACGAAGAAAACAAUUUUAUAAAAGUAGAGGACUUGGCAAAUUAUAAUGGGCAAAGGAAUAGUGCACAUUCUGUGGAACGUUGUUUCAAGCAACAAGUAAAAUUCUGACAAUUUUCGCGAGCUUUAUCGCCUUUGAAUCAUGCUUUAAAAUCGACUUUGUUUCCGGGA